rnacentral:rRNA from 1 species
CCAUAUCCUAUCCUAAGGGCUGAACAAUAAGAACAAGCUAUUAGUUUUAAACUCAAAGAAUUUGGCGGUGUUCUAUCAAAUCAGGGGAACCUGUCUCUUAAUAUGAUAAUCCACAAUUAUCUCACCUCCUUUAGAAUUUCAGCUUGUGUAUUGCCGUCAUGCUUUCCCCUAAAAGUGAACGCAAUCUCAGUUUCCACUGUAGAAAUCAGGUCAAAAUGCAGCUAAUAAGGAGGAGGACGAUGGGUUACACUACCUAAAAAUGUUCUUACCACCUAAAACUACAAAGCCGGACUUGAUAGUAAUUCUUCUCUACUAAAGAAGUAUAAACAUAGACCUAGAACAUGCACACAUCGCCCGUCGCUCUCACUGAAAAAUG